GAGGCAUUACACUUGUGGUGCUAAGCUUCCAAGAAGAUCAAGAUCAAGAUCAAGGGAAUUAUCAAUUGUUUACUAUAACAAUUGAAAGGUAUGUAAUUACUAAACCCUAGUUUGUAAAUUUCGAUUAUAGCCUCUCUCCUCUAGGGUUCUUGUUUUGCAAUUCAAAGUUGUAUGUUCAAUAGAUAAAACAUAGAUCCAAAGUAGGUUGCAUGUGAACUUAGGAAUUGUUUUCUAGUUUAUUUGUUUUACCUAAAACCCAUCAGUGGUAUCAGAGCCAUUGUUUGUUUUAAAUUGAAUUGUUAUAAUUGUUGAAUUGCAAAUUAGGGUUUAUAGCUAUUAAACCCUAAAGGCCAUUUUUUUCGAUUUUUAGGGUUGUGGAUCAAAGGGUUUUUGAAAACCCUAGCCUCCAAAGAACCCUAAUCGAAAUUAGGGUUAGGGUUUUGAAAACCCUAGCCUCCUCCCUUGAAAAUUUCGAAAUAUGCUAUAAAGAUUAGGGUUUCUUUGUUUUGGAUAAUAGUUGCCUUAUUGGAUAAUUGAGAAAAAUAAGGAAAUUAUCCUAUCCCCAUAUUUUCGAAAUCUAGAAGGGAUAUGGAUUAGGAUUAAAUUAAUUGUUUAAUUUAAUUAGAUAAUCCUUACAAGAUUUAAUAAAUUAAUUAAAAGUUAAUUAAUAGAUAAAUAUUAAAUCUAAUUAAUUGGUUUAUUUAAAUUUCGAAAUUUUUUUUAUAUAAACCCUUGAAGUUUUAAAAUGUUAUUACAACACACCUUAUAUAUAUUAUAAUUAAAAGUUAAAUAUUAUAUAUGUAUAAGAAUAUGGUCAGUCAAAUCGCUAGUAUGCCUCAUUCACGAAGCUAGUCUAUAAGGGGGGUAUAAGGAAACUGCCUAUAAAAUGGUAGUUGAAUGGGUGUCCACUCUCACCCACCGCUUCCUUGAUUAGUGGAGGGUCGUUAGCAGAACGGAUUUGAUAGGACAACUACUUCCCAUUAAAAGUAUAAUGCUAUUAAAGAAAGUACUAGAACACUAUUUUUCAAAAUCCCAACUCUAGUUACUUUAGGAAAAAUGUGAAAAGUAUGCUAAUCCAUGAAAUUGCACAUUAUGCUUUAUUGGUCGUUAGUGGAGCGUGUGUUGUUAACCGGCACACUAAAAGGCACUAAUAAAGAGUAGUAAUGAGUAUCUUAUAAUUAUCAUUUUUGAUGGAGCGGGUGUGGUUUACCAGCACAUCAAUAGUUAAUGAUAAAAACAAUAAGGUUACCAAGCACAUGUGCAUGGUUAUUCACAUCUAGUUUGUGAUCCUCGGUAUCCCAGUCACAAAUAGUAGAGCAUAAUCUGAGAUUAAAACAUGCCAUUAAAUAGUUUUAAUGUGUCUCAAAAGAAUUAGGAAUUUCACUUCGUUUAUUUUGUCUAAUGGUGGAAUUGGUGAAUCGUCAUUCACCUACCUUUAUGAGAUUUGAACUUGGAUCUCGGCAUCCCAUUUCUAAGUUGUAAAUCGUCAUAGUUGGGUCCUAACCUUGAUAUGAUAUCUUUGGGUUAUUAUAUUGAGGUGUCUUGGAAUCUAACUAAAACUAUCUUUCUUUUCAGAUGUCUACUCCUGGAAACACUUCUGCUUCAUCAUCCUCCAGCCACAACUUCUCUCUACUAAACAUCUGCUCCAAAGUCGUUAUGGAUGGCUCCAACUAUAACGAUUGGAUGCGUAACAUCAAGAUGGCGCUUAGAUUCGAGGACAAAGAGUAUGUCCUUGAAAAGGAGCUCAAAGAACUUGAUGAGUCAAAAGCCACUCCCGAAGAGUAUGCUGCCUACAAGAAACACUAUGAUGAUGCUACCAAAGUGGCAUGCAUCAUGGUUGCAACCAUGUCCCCAGAAUUGCAGAGGUACUAUGAGGACUACUGGCCUUUUGAGAUGAACAAGGACCUUAUGGAAAAGUACCAUAAGCGAGCUCGUCAAGAAAAGUUUGAGGUAGUCAAGUCACUCAUGGCUUGCAAGAUGAAAGAGGGGGAAUCGGUUGUAUCUCAUGUGCAAAGAAUGCAACGCUACAUAGAGCGUUUGGUCAAGCUCAACAUUCACUUCGAUGAGGAAUUGGCCAUUGACAUGGUCUUGAACUCGUUGCCUGAUUGUUAUGGUCAGUUUAUCUUAACUUACCAUUUGAACAACACUGAGCAGACUUUGGCCCAAUUGCACAACUUGUUGCAGACAGCUGAGGCAGGGAUGAAGGGUAAAAGUAUACCCUCCACACCUGCAAGUGCCCCUGUCUUGGCCAUUGGACAGGGAAAGGGGAAGAAGAGGAAAGGUCCUCCCAAGCAAAACUGGAAGAGCAAGGCUCAAGCUGUGUCAUCUAGUAAUGGCCCGAAGGCUAAGCCCAAUGGUUCCACUCCCCAUGUUUCUGAUCCAAAAGAGGCCAUUUGCUUUUACUGCAAUCAAAAGGGGCAUUGGAAGAGAUCUUGCCCACAAUAUCUGCAAGAUAUCAAGGAUGGCAAAGUGAAGCCAUCCUCGGCAGGUAUUUACACUAUUUCUGCUAAUAACUCAUUAUCUUCUCGUUCAUGGGUCCUUGAUACAGGAUGUGGUUUUCAUAUCUGUUCUGAUUUGCAGGGGCUAAAGGAAAGUGAGGAGAUAGAGCAUGGGAGGAUAAACUUGAUCAUGGGGAACAGAAAGUCUUCACCAGUGACCAAGAUCGGAGUUUAUCAACUAUUGCUUAGUAAUGAUGUUAGAUUAGAUUUAAUAAAUUGUUGCUAUUCGUCUGAGAUGACGAGAAACAUUAUUUCAUUUCAUGCAUUGUUCAGACAAGGUUUUAAAUAUUCUUUUAAUGAUUUGAAUGGUUCAAUUUCUGUUUAUAAGAAUGGUGUUUUUGUGUUUGAAGCUUUACCUUGUGAUGGUGUGUAUGAAACAGUGACUUGUGUUGAUAGCUUAGGAAAUAGUGUACUUAAUAUUGACUUGUCUAAUAGUGUAGACAAGGCAUGCUUGUGGCAUUGUCGUCUUGGACACAUUAACAAGAAACGCAUAGCCCAACUCCAAAAGGAUGGAGUGUUGGAAUCAUUUGACCUAAAAUCAGAUGAUAUGUGUGAAUCUUGUCUUUUGGGAAAGAUGACAAAAUCACCAUUCACAGGGUCUUGUGAAAGAGGUGAAGGUCUGUUGGAUCUCAUACACACAGAUGUGUGUGGGCCCUUCAGAUCAACCACAAGGGAUGCUAAUCGAUUCUAUGUGACUUUCACUGACGAUUAUAGCAGAUAUGGUUACAUCUACUUGAUCAAACAUAAGUCAGAAACCUUUGAAAAGUUCAAAGAGUUUAAGCAUGAAGUCGAAAAUCAAUUGGGCAGAAAGAUCAAGAUACUUAGAUCCGAUAGAGGCGGGGAGUAUCUUAGUACCGAGUUCAACGACUAUCUGAAAGAAUGUGGGAUAGUCUCACAAUUGACUCCUCCUAGGACACCACAGUUAAAUGGUGUAGCUGAGAGGCGUAAUCGAACCUUGUUAGACAUGGUUCGUUCUAUGAUGAGUCGUGCCUCGCUUCCUAUUCACUUCUGGGGGUAUGCCUUAGAGACAGCCGCCCACAUCCUCAAUCUUGUCCCUACAAAGAAGGUUGCCAAAACACCUCACGAAAUGUGGACAGGGAAAGUUCCCUCGUUAGCACAUAUUAAAGUCUGGGGUUGUGAAGCUUUCGUAAGACGAGAGACUCACGACAAGCUAGCAGCUAGAAGUGAGAAAUGUGUUUUCAUUGGUUACCCAAAGCAGUCUUUUGGAUAUUUGUUCUACAGACCUAGUGAAAACGUGGUGUUUGUAGCUCGAAGAGGAGUCUUUCUGGAAAGAGAGCUCAUAUUCAAAGAGGACAGUGGGAGUACCAUUGACCUUGAAGAGAUUCAAGAGUCAACCAAUGAAGGAACCUUAUAUGACACUAGCACUCAACCAGAGGAAACAGUUCCUGUUGAACCGGUUGAUAAAUCAUUACCUCUUCGAAGAUCCACUAGGGUGAGUGUGCCACCUGAGUUGUAUGGUUUUCAUAUUACUUCAGAUGGUGACACAUUCAUAAGUGACAGAACACUGGUAAACUUAGAUGAACCAGUCACUUAUAAGGAAGCAAUGGCAGGCCCAGAGGCUUCCAAGUGGAAAGAGGCAAUGGACAGCGAGAUUAAGUCCAUGUAUGACAACCAAGUUUGGAAUUUGGUUGAUAGUGCACCAGGUCGGAAGACAGUUGGGUGCAAAUGGAUCUUCAAGAAGAAGACAGACAUGGAUGGGAAUGUGCAUACGUUCAAGGCUCGACUGGUUGCAAAAGGUUUCACUCAAACCCCAGGGGUUGACUAUGAUGAGACUUUUUCGCCGGUGGCUAAGAUUAAAUCUAUUAGGAUAUUGCUCGCCAUAGCUGCCUUUCAUGACUAUGAAAUCUGGCAGAUGGAUGUCAAGACUGCCUUCCUUAACGGGAAGUUGGCUGAGGAUGUUUACAUGAGUCAGCCAGAGGGUUUUGUUGAUGCAAAGUUUCCCAAUAGAGUAUGCAAGCUUGAGAAAUCCAUUUAUGGAUUGAAACAAGCAUCUCGCAGCUGGAAUCUUUGCUUCCAUGAGAAAGUCAAAGAGUUUGGUUUCUCUAGAAGUGAAGAUGAGUUUUGUGUGUAUAUCAAGGCUAGUGGGAGUAUAGUAACUUUUCUGGUGUUAUAUGUCGAUGACAUAUUACUCAUUGGUAACGACGUUCCAACCUUGAAUGAAGUUAAGUCUUGGCUUGGAAAGUGUUUUGCCAUGAAAGACCUAGGAGAAGCCGCCUAUAUUCUUGGGAUUAGAAUAUUGAGAGAUAGAAAGAAGAGACUAAUUGGACUUAGUCAGAGCACAUACUUGGAUAAGGUACUAAAGAGGUUUAGUAUGGAAAAUUCCAAGAAGGGAGAGCUACCUAUCCAGAGCAAUACCAAAUUGAGUAAGACUCAAUGCCCGAGUACAGAUGAGGAAAUAGAUGACAUGAGUCGUGUACCUUAUGCUUCCGCUGUCGGAUCGAUCAUGUACGCUAUGACAUGUACUCGCCCUGAUGUGGCAUUUGCUUUGAGCAUGGUCAGUCGCUAUCAGGGAAACCCAGGUAGAGCUCAUUGGAUAGCCGUGAAGAAUAUACUCAAGUAUUUGCGAAGAACGAAGGACUGGGUCCUUGUACUUGGUGGCAAUGAUACUUUGAGAGUAGAUGGUUACAGUGAUGCCAGCUUUCAGACGGAUAGAGAUAACUUCCGUUCUCAGUCAGGCUGGGUAUUCUUAUUAAAUGGAGGAGCAGUUACUUGGAAGAGUUCCAAGCAAGAUACGGUGGCUGAUUCUACUUGUGAAUCAGAGUACAUAGCAGCAAGUGAAGCGUCGAAAGAAGCAGCUUGGUUGAGGAACUUCAUCGGGGAUCUCGGAGUUGUUCCAACCAUCCAGGAGCCUAUGGAACUGUUCUGCGAUAAUGAAGGAGCGGUUGCCUUGACAAAGGAACCGAGAGAUCAUGGUAAAACCAGACAUAUCGACAGAAAGUACCAUUUCAUCAGACAUAGAGUAGAAGAAGGCCAUCUUAUAGUGAAGAGGGUGUCAUCUGAAGAUAACCCAGCAGAUCCCCUCACAAAGGGUCUGAGUAGGGCUAAGCAUAUUCAGCAUGCUCGGAGCAUAGGACUGAAAGAUGAUAUUAGUUUUAGUAGUUAGAUUAGUUUUCUGAAACUUGUAACAAAGUAAAUGUAAUUGACUUUUGGUGAUUAAAUAAUAAAGUAUUAUUUAUAAGUUUGGGUUCUACCUUUUGUCAAUUGUUUAUUAUUGUGUUUCAUUUUUGCAUGUUUUACUUCCCGAAUAAUAAGAUUAUUCAAACUCCACAGUCGCUCGUACUUUUGGAAGUAAGUAGUGAAUCAAGACUGUCAUGAACUGGAUUGUAGAUUGUCUAAGGAUAGACAUGGCAAUGUAUUUGCUGCAACGUUCAUGAGUACUCAGAAAUUGAGAUUUGAGUAUUGGAUAAACCCUCGCUCAGAGUAUUACUUCAUGGAAUUCAUCACGAGUAAUACUGAGACGAUAAUAUCUUAUAAUCUUGAAACAGAGAUAUAUGAGUUGUAAUUUGCAAGUCGGCUAUGCAUUGGUGAUACGAAAACGCAUCAGUAACUUGGUGUUAUAAAACGUAUUAUCAUGUAUGGUUUGAUGAGUAAAAGAUACAAGCAUAUGAGUCAAUGUUUAUUCGUUCCUUUUGCCCUAACGGGAAAAGCGAUAUCUGUGGGCCCCUCGAUGAUUUGGUGUUGACUUGUGUGCUGGGCCCAGCCAGGACUAAAUUGAUGUGUUCAAUUAGAAGUCCUACAUCAUCACAAAUCAGGAAUCGGGAAACAUAGAUUCUGGACAAAGAGGUUGAUUGCAUUCCAUGUCUUUUGUCUAGGGAUAUCUAGCAGAACGAAGGAUUAUAUGAUCACUUAUCUUAGGACACGUAACUGACUGGGUCAGAGUUCGGCAGCAGCUUUUUGGAAGCUACAAUUUGCUGGUCAAAUUUAGAAGGCAUACUAGCAAUUAUAGUUACAGACUUAUCCAAGUGGGAGACUGUUGGAUUAGGUGUCUAAGCCCAUAACUAUAAUUGGUAUGUACUUGAAUUGAUAGCAGCACAGUCCUUUUGGGUUGCCCUCAAACCUAGCAACCAGACAAGGAAAUUAUGAAAGGAGAGAUAUUAAUUUAUUAUAAGAUUAAUAAAUUAAUAUAAAUGAAUUUAUUAAUAUGUUAAAAGAUUAAUAUAUUAAUGAGAAAUCAUUUUGUUUAAUUAAUUGUUAGCCAGAAAUUAAUUAGAAUUAAUUUUGGGGUUAAAAGAAUUGAUUAUAAGGUGCAGGGACUAGUUUGCAAUUAUCUAAUAGUUGAGUGGAAGGCUCUAAAACCCCCUUGGAUAAGGGUGGACGAAAUCUUUAGGGGAAACCCUAAUAAUUUCGUCCAUAGGGGCUUGGAUAAGGCCCUUGGGUUUGCUUAGGCCCUAAACAAAGGAUAACUAGGGUUUUCCCUAAACCCUAGAUCCCUCAGCUAUAUAAGGAGCCUCCUGGUUCAUGUUUUGGUCACUCUUUUCUUUUGAAGAAACCCUAAGGGCCGAAAUUUUGCAUACUCCCUCUCCCCUCUCUCCUCUACUUUCCUUCUUGCUAGUUUGGGUGUGAUUCCAUUAGAGGCAUUACACUUGUGGUGCUAAGCUUCCAAGAAGAUCAAGAUCAAGAUCAAGGGAAUCAUCAAUUGUUUACUAUAACAAUUGAAAGGUAUGUAAUUACUAAACCCUAGGUUGUAAAUUUCGAUUAUAGCCUCUCUCCUCUAGGGUUCUUGUUAUGCAAUUCAAAGUUGUAUGUUCAAUAGAUAAAACAUAGAUCCAAAGUAGGUUGCAUGUGAACUUAGGAAUUGUUUUUCUAGUUUAUUUGUUUUACCUAAAACCCAUCACUUGUAAC
rnacentral:lncRNA from 1 species